UGUCCUGGUAACGUAAAAAUUAUAUAAUUUUAUACCAUGUAAAUCCUUUGACUGUGGCUCCCAGUCACAAACCAAAUAUGAAUCAAGAAUAGUCCAAGGAGCUGGAUAAAGUGCUGUCUUAAUCUCCAAAUUUACCAAAUCUUCAUCCAGUUAGGUAUACAUCAGAUGUUCAACGCAACAAAAUCUGAUCCCAACUCUCGAUUUCAAGGACCUGAUGCUAACACCUUGCUGCCAGAGACCACAAUAUAUAUUUGGGGGAUCUAAUGGAAACCAUUGCUAGCCAGAAUAAAGGUUGUUUUGGCAGCAAAGGGGGGUAAACACACCAUUACUCCUGUGGUCAUAAUGUUGCACACUAAUAAGCCCAUUUGGGAGACUGGAAUCUCCCAUUAUGAUCUCGGGACGUUUUGACUGCUUUCGUGGAUAAAUCUUCUAGUACGGACGCAAAAGUACAUUCCAGAGUUUGUAAUGUCAAGCAAAACAUUCAAGUGUGGUGAGACAUUUCCAUCACCAGAGUGUCACAGAGUGCAAAAAUGUGGAUGAAAGAUUUAUGGAACGAUGGUUACUUAUCAACAGAGCAGUUAGAACUUCAGGGAAAACAAACGACAUCUUGUCCAUACCUUUGGCUUACACAGUAUGGAAAAUACCUGUUUUAUAAUAUGUUACAUAAUAAAUGUUUUUCUUUGACUCAUUUACAUGUUUGAAAACACCACAACCACUGAAAGUACCUGUGAUGUUUUCUUACAUAUCUAUAUGUCCAGCAUGUGUGGGUUGUACAUUGAGAUUACCUCGAGUUCUGAAACCACCGCUCUAAUAACCGUUAUCAAUAAACAGAGGCAAAAAUGUGCCUGUAAGACCAAAGUAUGGGAUGUUAAAUAUUAACUAUGAACACUGACAAAGGUAGCUGGCAGAGACAGAAGAAGCACAAACCAGUUGGGGAACUCAACGAGAAAGGUAAAACACUUGUUUUCCAGCGGUGCUACAGGAAGUCUUUGUCGCUGAAGUGAUUUUAAGUCUGAAAUUGCUUGAUCGAGGAAAUGCAGGAUGUCUCUCAAACAUCUUGAAUUUGUGUAGACAGACUUGUGCGUCAAGAGCUGAUUUUUAAUUUCCUAGAUGCAGAGCUCUCGACCACAACUGUACGAUUUCCACGGAGUCGCGAUGACUCACUGCGUCACCGACAACUGGGAGAAGGUUAAAAACUUUCAGGCCAGACCAGACGACAUACUCAUUGCGACAUACCCGAAAGCAGGAACUACGUGGGUCUCCUACAUCCUUGACCUGUUGUAUUUUGGACGAGUAUCUCCAGAGCGUCAGUCGUCCAUCCCCGUCUUUGAACGAGUUCCUUUUUUGGAGAUAGCGGUCUCUUCUGUGGCUUCAGGAACAGAGCUGGCAGACCUGCUGCCCACCUCCCCUCGGCUCAUUAAGACUCACCUCCCGGUUCAGUUGGUGCCUCAGUCGUUUUGGGAUCUGAACUGUCGGAUGGUGUAUGUGGCACGCAACGCGAAGGACAACAUGGUGUCUUUUUACCACUUUGAUCGCAUGAACAUGGUGCAACCGGAGCCUGGAGAAUGGAGCAGCUACUUCCAGAGGUUCCUGGAUGGGCAGAUGUUGUAUGGGUCGUGGUAUGACCAUGUGGGAAACUGGUGGAAUAAGACGAAGACCUAUCCCAAACUUCAUUAUAUGUUCUAUGAAGAUAUAGCUGAGGACACUGAGAGGGAAAUAGACAAACUUUGCUCCUUCCUCGGGUUAUCCCCGUCAGCUGAAGACAAAAAGACCAUCGUUGAACUGGUGCACUUUGAUAAUAUGAAGAACAAUGAGAUGACCAACUGUUCCAAACGCCCAUUCUUUGAUUUCUCAAUUUCUCCCUUCAUGAGGAAAGGAAAAGUUGGUGACUGGAAGAACCACUUCACUGUCGCCCAGAAUGAAGCGUUCAACGAGGACUACAAGAGCAAGAUGAAAGAUCCGACACUUCGGUUUCGCACCGAAAUAUAAAACUGGACCUGGCGUAUUGCAGAUCUCUUAUGGCGAAGGGGAUAUUUUGAAAUUCAAAGGAAUGGAUUCUGAAAUGUGCCCUGUCCCUUUCUAAUACCUCCCUGUGCAACUGCCCAAAAAUACUGGGAGAACAUGUGACCCCCUCAGAGAGUUAGUGCUGUGAAAUCAGGGGUCAGAAAAGUCACCUGGAGGUUCUGACUGAUCGGAGCAGUUAAUCCCCACGCAUGAAAACAUGCCGAACGGCGUCCACAUCCAAACAGCCCCUGACAGAAGGCCUGCCAUCUGAUCAGUUAAAUAAAAACAAGAACACACUCGGGCCAGCCGGUCAAAUUCACAUGCAGCAGGAAAGGGAGCUGUUUUCAUCCCGCCACAACAAAAACAUCACGGGUUACAU